rnacentral:lncRNA from 1 species
CCAUGCUAUGAAUGUGAAAAUCUCGAACUGGGAUUACUGCAUGGGAGAUUGCGGUCCUGACUUCUCGCUGUGCAAGCUGGAAUGCACCAACCAUGGCUUUCGUCAAGGAGGCCAAUGCGUAUUGAAGGACCCCGGAAGUAAAGUUUAUGAAUGUUGCUGCAUACCUGAUCAAUAGACACAUCAUCAUGAAAACAAAAUAAAACCUUUCCUCUCUGACUUUUUUGGGUACCAAGGGAUGAUUUUUAUGUAACAGUAAGGAAGGAAGGUUGGUUGUCAAUUCUAACCAAAUUCAUUGCAUCAAAUAAAGA